GUGCAGCAGCCGCGGUAAUACGUAGGGCGCAAGCGUAUCCGGAAUAUUGGGCGUAAAGAGCUCGUAGGCGGUUUGUCGCGUCUGCCGUGAAAGUCCGGGGCUCAACUCCGGAUCUGCGGUGGGUACGGGCAGACUAGAGUGAUGUAGGGGAGACUGGAAUUCCUGGUGUAGCGGUGAAAUGCGCAGAUAUCAGGAGGAACACCGAUGGCGAAGGCAGGUCUCUGGGCAUUAACUGACGCUGAGGAGCGAAAGCAUGGGGAGCGAACAGGAUUAGAUACCCUGGUAGUCCAUGCCGUAAACGUUGGGCACUAGGUGUGGGGGACAUUCCACGUUUUCCGCGCCGUAGCUAACGCAUUAAGUGCCCCGCCUGGGGAGUACGGCCGCAAGGCUAAAACUCAAAGGAAUUGACGGGGGCCCGCACAAGCGGCGGAGCAUGCGGAUUAAUUCGAUGCAACGCGAAGAACCUUACCAAGGCUUGACAUGAACCGGAAACGCCUGGAAACAGGUGCCCCACUUGUGGUCGGUUUACAGGUGGUGCAUGGUUGUCGUCAGCUCGUGUCGUGAGAUGUUGGGUUAAGUCCCGCAACGAGCGCAACCCUCGUUCUAUGUUGCCAGCACGUGAUGGUGGGGACUCAUAGGAGACUGCCGGGGUCAACUCGGAGGAAGGUGGGGACGACGUCAAAUCAUCAUGCCCCUUAUGUCUUGGGCUUCACGCAUGCUACAAUGGCCGGUACAAAGGGUUGCGAUACUGUGAGGUGGAGCUAAUCCCAAAAAGCCGGUCUCAGUUCGGAUUGGGGUCUGCAACUCGACCCCAUGAAGUCGGAGUCGCUAGUAAUCGCAGAUCAGCAACGCUGCGGUGAAUACGUUCCCGGGCCUUGUACACACCGCCCGUCAAGUCACGAAAGUUGGUAACACCCGAAGCCGGUGGCCUAACCCUUUUGGGGGGGAGCCGUCGAAGGUGGGACUGGCGAUUGGGACUAAGUCGUAACAAGUAACCCC
rnacentral:rRNA from 1 species